GAAGAUGAACAUGAAGAUUGACCGUGUCUGAAAACUUCUACUGCUGCUAUGUUCAUGUGAAGAAAGGAAGCAACCAAACGCUCUUAAGAACUUGUCGAUGAACUGAAGCUUCUAUGCUAUUAAGUUGAUGCUUUGGCUCAUCAAAACUUGUGAUUAGUUGAGGUAGGUUGAAGGAACUUCAUUAAUGGAGAAAGAGGCCACUUGAUCAUUUGUAGUUAAUUUUACUCCCCAUUUUCUGGUCAUUGACACUGCCAUAGGAACAUUAACAUCUUAUUUCCUCUUUCUAUUCUGUAAUUUUUUGGCACCAACAAUGUGCAUAAUGACUUUUGAUUUGUAAAAUAUUAGACUCGAAACCGUUUCGCGCCCUAAGGGAGUUGAUGUAAACUU
rnacentral:misc_RNA from 1 species